GACAGCGAGAGGUAGAGACACAGAGAGAGAGGUAGAGACACACAGAGAGAGAGACAGAGAGAGGUAGAGACACACAGAGAGAGAGACAGCGAGAGGUAGAGACACAGAGAGAGAGGUAGAGACACAGAGAGAGAGACAGCGAGAGGUAGAGACACACAGAGAGAGAGACAGCGAGAGGUAGAUGUGAGAAUGGGAGCCGUAGUUACAGCAAGCAGCAGGCCUACUACCAUCUAGUGGAUCAGAGCUUUGUGUUGCCAUGGUGCAUCAGCCUCAAAUGAUAGCCUG